GUGUCAGCAGCCGCGGUAAUACAGAGGGUGCGAGCGUUAAUCGGAAUUACUGGGCGUAAAGCGAGUGUAGGUGGCUCAUUAAGUCACAUGUGAAAUCCCCGGGCUUAACCUGGGAACUGCAUGUGAUACUGGUGGUGCUAGAAUAUGUGAGAGGGAAGUAGAAUUCCAGGUGUAGCGGUGAAAUGCGUAGAGAUCUGGAGGAAUACCGAUGGCGAAGGCAGCUUCCUGGCAUAAUAUUGACACUGAGAUUCGAAAGCGUGGGUAGCAAACAGGAUUAGAUACCCUGGUAGUCCACGCCGUAAACGAUGUCUACUAGCCGUUGGGGUCCUUGAGACUUUAGUGGCGCAGUUAACGCGAUAAGUAGACCGCCUGGGGAGUACGGCCGCAAGGUUAAA
rnacentral:rRNA from 1 species